AAGUCGUAACAAGGUUUCCGUAGGUGAACCUGCGGAAGGAUCAUUAACACGUAUCCAAACGUUAAAACAACCCUGUGAAUAUUGACGCGUGUUCUUCCAGGCAACUAAAACAGCAAUCUCUCGUAAAACAGGCGCUAAAGAAUUACAGAUAUUGAUUUGAGAGAUUUCUGUCACGUACGUGCCGGUCGUGUGGACCUACAGCGAUCGUUGACUGCGUUACCCCUGACCAUCACUUGACACUUUCAGACAUUGUGAUAAAUCAGAGGUACAGGGUGCUUUAUCUAGUGCUCGAUUCCAGGGUCGAGAACGGGGUGGAGGCGAAAGCCCCUACGUCACCCCUAUGUACCCUCCGGGACUUGGCGAAAGCUGACUCCGUCAUAAAUCGAACAACUGUUAACAAUGGAUAUCUUGGUUCUC
rnacentral:misc_RNA from 1 species